CCUGCAUGCUGCACUCAUUAAAAUCUGCACCAGUGGAGGUGAUCCAAGUUACUCUGCCAAGCGAUCACAUGGAAUUCUGUGUCUUGCAACAUGCCAAGAGUCAGCUGUUUGGGUAAUCACAGCUCAAGCUUGCCAGGGCAUAUCGUCUUCAACUACGGUGAACCAAAGCCCAAACUGCAGGAAAGCCUGUCCACUGACUUUGAGAUUUGCCCAUGAAUUUUCUGCUGGCUGCAGUGGGUUGUAGCUGGGAGAGGUCCGAUGCUGAUUUCAUCUAAGCAAGCCACCAAGGAGGAUGUGGGAGCCCAAAUCCAAGAUGACUGUAGUAUCUUAAAUGCUGCUGCUGCAUUGGAGCUCUCUAGUGGAUAUGUGCUGCAAAGCAGCCUCCUCACUUCCCUCAGUUUCCAGAACACAAUUAUAUUCUGGCAUUCUCAAGCUGUGAAUAACCACCAGGGCCAAG
ensembl:lncRNA